rnacentral:rRNA from 1 species
UUAAGCGACUAAGCGUACACGGUGGAUGCCCUGGCAGUCAGAGGCGAUGAAGGACGUGCUAAUCUGCGAUAAGCGUCGGUAAGGUGAUAUGAACCGUUAUAACCGGCGAUUUCCGAAUGGGGAAACCCAGUGUGAUUCGUCACACUAUCAUUAACUGAAUCCAUAGGUUAAUGAGGCGAACCGGGGGAACUGAAACAUCUAAGUACCCCGAGGAAAAGAAAUCAACCGAGAUUCCCCCAGUAGCGGCGAGCGAACGGGGAGCAGCCCAGAGCCUGAAUCAGUGUGUGUGUUAGUGGAAGCGUCUGGAAAGGCGCGCGAUACAGGGUGACAGCCCCGUACACAAAAAUGCACAUACUGUGAGCUCGAUGAGUAGGGCGGGACACGUGGUAUCCUGUCUGAAUAUGGGGGGACCAUCCUCCAAGGCUAAAUACUCCUGACUGACCGAUAGUGAACCAGUACCGUGAGGGAAAGGCGAAAAGAACCCCGGCGAGGGGAGUGAAAAAGAACCUGAAACCGUGUACGUACAAGCAGUGGGAGCACAGAGCAAUCUGUGUGACUGCGUACCUUUUGUAUAAUGGGUCAGCGACUUAUAUUCUGUAGCAAGGUUAACCGAAUAGGGGAGCCGAAGGGAAACCGAGUCUUAACUGGGCGUUAAGUUGCAGGGUAUAGACCCGAAACCCGGUGAUCUAGCCAUGGGCAGGUUGAAGGUUGGGUAACACUAACUGGAGGACCGAACCGACUAAUGUUGAAAAAUUAGCGGAUGACUUGUGGCUGGGGGUGAAAGGCCAAUCAAACCGGGAGAUAGCUGGUUCUCCCCGAAAGCUAUUUAGGUAGCGCCUCGUGAAUUCAUCUCCGGGGGUAGAGCACUGUUUCGGCAAGGGGGUCAUCCCGACUUACCAACCCGAUGCAAACUGCGAAUACCGGAGAAUGUUAUCACGGGAGACACACGGCGGGUGCUAACGUCCGUCGUGAAGAGGGAAACAACCCAGACCGCCAGCUAAGGUCCCAAAGUCAUGGUUAAGUGGGAAACGAUGUGGGAAGGCCCAGACAGCCAGGAUGUUGGCUUAGAAGCAGCCAUCAUUUAAAGAAAGCGUAAUAGCUCACUGGUCGAGUCGGCCUGCGCGGAAGAUGUAACGGGGCUAAACCAUGCACCGAAGCUGCGGCAGCGACGCUUAUGCGUUGUUGGGUAGGGGAGCGUUCUGUAAGCCUGCGAAGGUGUGCUGUGAGGCAUGCUGGAGGUAUCAGAAGUGCGAAUGCUGACAUAAGUAACGAUAAAGCGGGUGAAAAGCCCGCUCGCCGGAAGACCAAGGGUUCCUGUCCAACGUUAAUCGGGGCAGGGUGAGUCGACCCCUAAGGCGAGGCCGAAAGGCGUAGUCGAUGGGAAACAGGUUAAUAUUCCUGUACUUGGUGUUACUGCGAAGGGGGGACGGAGAAGGCUAUGUUGGCCGGGCGACGGUUGUCCCGGUUUAAGCGUGUAGGCUGGUUUUCCAGGCAAAUCCGGAAAAUCAAGGCUGAGGCGUGAUGACGAGGCACUACGGUGCUGAAGCAACAAAUGCCCUGCUUCCAGGAAAAGCCUCUAAGCAUCAGGUAACAUCAAAUCGUACCCCAAACCGACACAGGUGGUCAGGUAGAGAAUACCAAGGCGCUUGAGAGAACUCGGGUGAAGGAACUAGGCAAAAUGGUGCCGUAACUUCGGGAGAAGGCACGCUGAUAUGUAGGUGAAGUCCCUCGCGGAUGGAGCUGAAAUCAGUCGAAGAUACCAGCUGGCUGCAACUGUUUAUUAAAAACACAGCACUGUGCAAACACGAAAGUGGACGUAUACGGUGUGACGCCUGCCCGGUGCCGGAAGGUUAAUUGAUGGGGUUAGCGCAAGCGAAGCUCUUGAUCGAAGCCCCGGUAAACGGCGGCCGUAACUAUAACGGUCCUAAGGUAGCGAAAUUCCUUGUCGGGUAAGUUCCGACCUGCACGAAUGGCGUAAUGAUGGCCAGGCUGUCUCCACCCGAGACUCAGUGAAAUUGAACUCGCUGUGAAGAUGCAGUGUACCCGCGGCAAGACGGAAAGACCCCGUGAACCUUUACUAUAGCUUGACACUGAACAUUGAGCCUUGAUGUGUAGGAUAGGUGGGAGGCUUUGAAGUGUGGACGCCAGUCUGCAUGGAGCCGACCUUGAAAUACCACCCUUUAAUGUUUGAUGUUCUAACGUGGACCCGUAAUCCGGGUUGCGGACAGUGUCUGGUGGGUAGUUUGACUGGGGCGGUCUCCUCCUAAAGAGUAACGGAGGAGCACGAAGGUUGGCUAAUCCUGGUCGGACAUCAGGAGGUUAGUGCAAUGGCAUAAGCCAGCUUGACUGCGAGCGUGACGGCGCGAGCAGGUGCGAAAGCAGGUCAUAGUGAUCCGGUGGUUCUGAAUGGAAGGGCCAUCGCUCAACGGAUAAAAGGUACUCCGGGGAUAACAGGCUGAUACCGCCCAAGAGUUCAUAUCGACGGCGGUGUUUGGCACCUCGAUGUCGGCUCAUCACAUCCUGGGGCUGAAGUAGGUCCCAAGGGUAUGGCUGUUCGCCAUUUAAAGUGGUACGCGAGCUGGGUUUAGAACGUCGUGAGACAGUUCGGUCCCUAUCUGCCGUGGGCGCUGGAGAAUUGAGGGGGGCUGCUCCUAGUACGAGAGGACCGGAGUGGACGCAUCACUGGUGUUCGGGUUGUCAUGCCAAUGGCACUGCCCGGUAGCUAAAUGCGGAAGAGAUAAGUGCUGAAAGCAUCUAAGCACGAAACUUGCCCCGAGAUGAGUUCUCCCUGACUCCUUGAGAGUCCUGAAGGAACGUUGAAGACGACGACGUUGAUAGGCCGGGUGUGUAAGCGCAGCGAUGCGUUGAGCUAACCGGUACUAAUGAACCGUGAGGCUUAACCUU